AGUGAACGCUGGCGGCGUGCUUAACACAUGCAAGUCGAACGAGAACGGGUUAUAGCUUGCUAUAAUUGUCAGCUAAGUGGCGCACGGGUGAGUAAUGUAUAGGUAAUAUGCCUCUUACUAAGGGAUAACAAAUGGAAACGUUUGCUAAUACCUUAUACUCCUUAUUAACAGGAGUUAAUAAGGGAAAGAUUUAUUGGUAAGAGAUUAGCCUGUAUUGUAUCAGUUAGUUGGUGGGGUAAUGGCUUACCAAGACUAUGACACAUAACUGGUUUGAGAGGAUGAUCAGUCACACUGGAACUGAGAUACGGUCCAGACUCCUACGGGAGGCAGCAGUGGGGAAUAUUGCACAAUGGACGAAAGUCUGAUGCAGCAACGCCGCGUGGAGGAUGACACAUUUCGGUGCGUAAACUCCUUUUAUAUGAGAAGAUAAUGACGGUAUUAUAUGAAUAAGCACCGGCUAACUCCGUGCCAGCCGCCGCCGUAA
rnacentral:rRNA from 1 species